rnacentral:tRNA from 1 species
GCGAAGGUGGCGGAACAGGCAGACGCGCUGGCCUUAGGAGCCAGUGCCGAUGAGGCGUGCGGGUUCGAGUCCCGCCCUUCGCACCA